rfam:Medicago truncatula strain A17 chromosome 5, whole genome shotgun sequence.
AUGUUUGAAAUUCCUCGGCAGUUAACUGCAGCCGAUUCUUUAAAACUUCGGCAGUUAACUGCCGAGGGGCAU